rnacentral:rRNA from 1 species
CAGCAGCCACGGUAAUACGUAGGUGGCAAGCGUUGUCCGGAAUUAUUGGGCGUAAAGGGCUCGCAGGCGGUUUCUUAAGCCUGAUGUGAAAGCCCCCGGCUCAACCGGGGAGGGUCAUUGGAAACUGGGAAACUUGAGUGCAGAAGAGGAGAGUGGAAUUCCACGUGUAGCGGUGAAAUGCGUAGAGAUGUGGAGGAACACCAGUGGCGAAGGCGACUCUCUGGUCUGUAACUGACGCUGAGGAGCGAAAGCGUGGGGAGCGAACAGGAUUAGAUACCCCGGUAGUCCCUGUCUCUUAUAC